CAACGGGAGUCACGUUUCCGUUUUGUUGAGCCUGUAAUUCGUUACAUUUAGGGAUACUGGCGUCAUAACAUUAGCCGAAGUUCCCGUAAUGAGUUCAUGUUUGAAUUCAACUCGUUGACGUAGAGAUAACUUAAGCUGGUUCAGUUUUAUCGUGACGAAAACUGGAAAAAUGUGAAGAUCCCGGUGGAGUUCCGCUGUUAAACGGAGCGCCUUUCCCUCCGGCGGAUUCUAAGUGGAUUAAUGAACUUUUCGCCGCGAUAGACGUCGGAUAUAACAACGAACACGGAACAUGUUUCAAAUCCCGCCCAACGUCUUUUCAUCGAUCACUAAAGUAAUUCACACGACGUGAAUCUAAACUCUGAGUCCAGUCUGAAAACAGAAAAACUGCAGGUCAGUGGAAGUUCACCGUGGAA